rnacentral:lncRNA from 1 species
GCACAUUUGUCACAGGGUAAUGCUGCUUUGCAUACUGUAAAGAAAGCUUUUCAGAUUCUUCUCGGAUGUCUUCAUGAGAGAACUCUUUUUCACAGAAGUUGUCCUGCAUGAUUUCUAAUUUUGGUGGUGAUGUUCUGUGCCUUAUUGGUGUAGAUAUCUGAAUGGAGUGAGCUCUUCCAAACUUUGUCAGAUCGGGUUCAAGACUUUUACUGUUCAUUUCAGUUGAUCGUGUAAAACAUUAUGCAGCUCAAUAUUAUAAAAGAUUUUUUUUUUUUUUUCAGGAGCAGAAGAGCAAAGCAAGUGAAGGAAGUCACUUUUACUAGGCUUGUUAUGGGAAGGGCUAUCAUCUGUAGAUUUGGCUUUUUUCUGCUCAAACUCCCAGUUUUCACUCAGUUUUUGGAAAUUCAAAUAUUCAGGAAAAUGAUUGCAUCUAAUCAAAAUCUAAAAAGCAGUGUCUGAGUGAUAAAAUGGAGGCCAGCACCUCUGACUGGAGUUUUGGCUCUGAAUCAACGCAGUGAUGAAAUUUCACGUUUUCAAAGAGUCUGGCCGUUUUGCUGAAUGAUUUGUUUUUGCUUGUACUACAGAAUCAAGAUCUUUAAGGAAAGAAAGAAAAAUAAAACUUUGAAUAUCAGUAAAUUAAAAUGAAGC